CCUACGGGAGACUGCAGUGGGGAAUAUUGGGCAAUGGGCGCAAGCCUGACCCAGCAACGCCGCGUGAAGGAAGAAGGCUUUCGGGUUGUAAACCUCUUUUCUCAGGGACGAAGCAAGUGACGGUACCUGAGGAAUAAGCCACUGCUAACUACGCGCCAGCAGCCGCGGUAAUACGUAGGCGGCAAGCGUUAUCAGGAUUUACUGGGUGUAAAGGGCGUGUAGGCGGGACUGCAAGUCAGAUGUGAAAACCACGGGCUCAACCUGUGGCCUGCAUUUGAAACUGUAGUUCUUGAGUACUGGAGAGGCAGACGGAAUUCCUAGUGUAGCGGUGAAAUGCGUAGAUAUUAGGAGGAACACCAGUGGCGAAGGCGGUCUGCUGGACAGCAACUGACGCUGAGGCGCGAAAGCGUGGGGAGCAAACAGGAUUAGAUACCCUUGUAGUC
rnacentral:rRNA from 1 species